UUAAAUGGCUGAAGGUUAGGCGAUAGAUUGUAAAUCUAUUUAUAAGAGUUUAUCUUUUUAAUCA
rnacentral:tRNA from 1 species